rnacentral:rRNA from 1 species
GACGAACGCUGGCGGCGUGCCUAAUACAUGCAAGUAGAACGCUGAAGCGAGGAGCUUGCUCUUCUUGGAUGAGUGGCGAACGGGUGAGUAACGCGUAGGUAACCUGCCUUGUAGCGGGGGAUAACUAUUGGAAACGAUAGCUAAUACCGCAUAACAAUGGAUGACACAUGUCACUUAUUUGAAUGGGGCAAUUGCUCCACUACAAGAUGGACCUGCGUUGUAGUAGCUAGUAGGUGAGGUAAUGGCUCACCUAGGCGACGAUACAUAGCCGGGCUGGAAGGGUGAUCGGCCCCCCUGGGACCUGGACCCCGCCCCGGCUUCUUCGGGAGGCAGCCGUAGGGAAUCUUCGGCAAUGGGGGCAACCCUUACCGAGCAACGCCGCGUGAGUGAAGAAGGUUUUCGGAUCGUUAAGCUCUGUUGUAUGUCAAGAACGGGUGUGAGAGUGGAAAGCUCACACUGUGACGGUAGCUUACCAGAAAGCGACGGCUAACUACGUG